AUCGACAAGUGGGUUUACGACCUCGAUGUUGGAUCAGGGUCUCCUAGUGGUGCAGCCGCUACUAAUGGUUCGUUUGUUCAACGAUUAAAACCCUACGUGAUCUGAGUUCAGACCGGAGUAAUCCAGGUCAGUUUCUAUCUAUAAAGAGCUUUUUCUAGUACGAAAGGACCGAAAAAGCAUGGCCAAUGCUUAAGUACGCCAUCUUACAUAAUUUAUGAUAUAAUCUUAAUUAAUAACUACUCUCCCACUAAGCCCAAGAAAAGGGGGUUAAC
rnacentral:rRNA from 1 species